rnacentral:rRNA from 1 species
UACGUAGGGGCGAGCGUUGUCCGGAAUUAUUGGGCGUAAAGAGCUUGUAGGCGGUUUGUCGCGUCUGCUGUGAAAAUCCGGGGCUCAACCCCGGACUUGCAGUGGGUACGGGCAGACUAGAGUGUGGUAGUGGAGACUGGAAUUCCUGGUGUAGCGGUAAAAUGCGCAGAUAUCAGGAGGAACACCGGUGGCGAAGGCGGGUCUCUGGGCCUUACCUGACGCUGAGGAGCGAAAGCAUGGGUAGCCAACAGGAUUAGAUACCCCGGUAGUCCCUGAG